GACAAUAUUCAGCUAAAUACCCUAUGGUGUAAAUACAUCUAUAGCAUUAAGGUGAAUAAUGAUUGUAAAGACAUUAAUGUAGCCCUGCAAACUCUUCUCUCUUGUCAGUAUUACCAUUCUACAGCAUUAAGGUGAAUAAUGAUUGUAAAGACAUUAAUGUAGCCCUGCAAACUCUUCUCUCUUGUCAGUAUUACCAUUCUACAGCAUUAAGGUGAAUAAUGAUUGUAAAGACAUUAAUGUAGCCCUGCAAACUCUUCUCUCUUGUCAGUAUUACCAUUCUACAGCAUUAAGGUGAAUAAUGAUUGUAAAGACAUUACUGUAGCCCUGCAAACUCUUCUCUCUUGUCAGUACUACCAUUCUACAGCAUUAAGGUGAAUAAUGAUUGUAAAGACAUUACUGUAGCCCUGCAAACUCUUCUCUCUUGUCAGUACUACCAUUCUACAGCAUUAAGGUGAAUAAUGAUUGUAAAGACAUUACUGUAGCCCUGCAAACUCUUCUCUCUUGUCAGUAUUACCAUUCUAUAGCAUUAAGGUGAAUAAUGAUUGUAAAGACAUUACUGUAGCCCUG